GUAAGGAAUAUUGGUCAAUGGACGCAAGUCUGAACCAGCCAUGCCGCGUGGAGGAUGAAGGUCCUCUGGAUUGUAAACUUCUUUUAUCUGGGACGAAAAAGGGUCUUUCUAGACCACCUGACGGUACCAGAUGAAUAAGCACCGGCUAACUCCGUGCCAGCAGCCGCGGUAAUACGGAGGGUGCAAGCGUUAUCCGGAUUCACUGGGUUUAAAGGGUGCGUAGGUGGGUCUGUAAGUCAGUGGUGAAAUCUCCGAGCUUAACUUGGAAACUGCCAUUGAUACUAUAGGUCUUGAAUACUGUGGAGGUCAGCGGAAUAUGUCAUGUAGCGGUGAAAUGCUUAGAUAUGACAUAGAACACCAAUUGCGAAGGCAGCUGGCUACACAAAUAUUGACACUGAGGCACGAAAGCGUGGGGAUCAAACAGGAUUAGAAACCCCUGUAGUCC
rnacentral:rRNA from 1 species